GUUGAACGCUGGCGGCAGGCUUAACACAUGCAAGUCGAGCGGGGGAAGGUAGCUUGCUACCGGACCUAGCGGCGGACGGGUGAGUAAUGCUUAGGAAUCUGCCUAUUAGUGGGGGACAACAUCUCGAAAGGGAUGCUAAUACCGCAUACGUCCUACGGGAGAAAGCAGGGGAUCUUUGGACCUUGCGCUAAUAGAUGAGCCUAAGUCGGAUUAGCUAGUUGGUGGGGUAAAGGCCUACCAAGGCGACGAUCUGUAGCGGGUCUGAGAGGAUGAUCCGCCACACUGGGACUGAGACACGGCCCAGACUCCUACGGGAGGCAGCAGUGGGGAAUAUUGGACAAUGGGGGGAACCCUGAUCCAGCCAUGCCGCGUGUGUGAAGAAGGCCUUAUGGUUGUAAAGCACUUUAAGCGAGGAGGAGGCUACUUUAGUUAAUACCUAGAGAUAGUGGACGUUACUCGCAGAAUAAGCACCGGCUAACUCUGUGCCAGCAGCCGCAGUAA
rnacentral:rRNA from 1 species